GCAAGUGAAUCAUCUAGCUCCGGCUAUGCUUUCCAUAUUGCUUUUACCAUCACUUAUUAGAGGUUCCCCAAGCCGAAUAGUUAAUGUGAAUUCUACAAUGCACUAUGUCGGGUUUGUCGAUCCAGAAGAUAUGAAUGUUGUAUCCGGAAAGAGAAAGUACACCAGUGUAGUGGGAUAUGGAGGCAGCAAGCUUGCUCAGAUUAUGUUCAGUAGCAUCCUUCAUAAGAGACUACCUGCUGAAUCUGGCAUAAGUGUAG
rnacentral:misc_RNA from 1 species